rnacentral:tRNA from 2 species
GGAGACGUGCCGGAGCGGUUGAACGGGCCUGACCCGAAAUCAGGUAUACCAGAAAUGGUAUCGGAGGUUCGAAUCCUCCCGUCUCCGCCA